CAGAGUAGAGAACUGAGCGUACAAGUGUCCGACGGACGGGGAGUUGCCGUUGGAACGAAAAGCAUCCAUUGCUUGCGGUUCAGUUUCUUGCAUCCCGCUG
rnacentral:ncRNA from 1 species